GGCUCCUUGGAUAUUUUAACAUAAGGAGUCGGACCUGCCCAGUGAAUAUAUUUUAACGGCCGCGGUACUCUGACCGUGCAAAGGUAGCAUAAUCAUUUGCCCUAUAAUUGAGGGCUAGUAUGAAUGGUUUGACGUGAACAAAGCUGUCUCUAUGUAAUUUUUUAGAACUUGAUUUCUAGGUGAGGAAACCUAGAUUUAAUUGAAAGACAAGAAGACCCUAUUGAGCUUUAAAAGAAUAAAUUGAAAAUAAUAUAUAAUUUUAAAUAUUAAUCUAUUUUAGAUUUUGGUUGGGGCGACUAUGGAACAAAUAAAGCUUCUUUAUUAAUCAAUAAGACUUACAAGUGUUGAUCCAAAAAUUUUGAUCAAUGGAAUUAGUUACCAUAGGGAUAACAGCAUAAUUCUCUUUGAGAGUCCUUAUCGAAAAGAGAGUUUGUGACCUCGAUGUUGGACUAGAAUAUCCUAAAGAUGCAGCAGUCUUUAAGGGUUGGUCUGUUCGACCAUUAAAAUUCU
rnacentral:rRNA from 1 species